rnacentral:rRNA from 1 species
AGCGAACGCUGGCGGCAGGCCUAACACAUGCAAGUCGAACGAGACCUUCGGGUCUAGUGGCGCACGGGUGCGUAACGCGUGGGAAUCUGCCCUCUGGUUCGGAACAACAGUUGGAAACGACUGCUAAUACCGGAUAAUGACUUCGGUCCAAAGAUUUAUCGCCUGAGGAUGAGCCCGCGUAGGAUUAGCUUGUUGGUGAGGUAAAAGCUCACCAAGGCGGCGAUCCUUAGCUGGUCUGAGAGGAUGAUCAGCCACACUGGGACUGAGACACGGCCCAGACUCCUACGGGAGGCAGCAGUGGGGAAUAUUGGACAAUGGGCGAAAGCCUGAUCCAGCAAUGCCGCGUGAGUGAUGAAGGCCUUAGGGUUGUAAAGCUCUUUUACCCGGGAUGAUAAUGACAGUACCGGGAGAAUAAGCCCCGGCUAACUCCGUGCCAGCAGCCGCAGUAACAC